rnacentral:rRNA from 4 species
AUGCAUGUCUAAGUACAAACCUAACUAAGGUGAAACCGCGAAUGGCUCAUUAAAUCACACCUAAUCUAUUGGAAUGUUAGCAGUUACUUGGAUAACUGAGGUAAUUCUUGAGCUAAUACAUGCGAAAAAUCUCGACUCACGAAGAGAUGCUUUUAUUAGACCAAACCAAACAGCUUCGGCUGUACUACUGGUGACUCUGAAUAACUUUGGGCUGAUCGCAUUGCCUAGUGCAGGCGACAAUUCCUAUGAAGGUGUGCCCUAUCAACUGUCGACUGUGAUAUAGACGCUCACAGUGGUUUUGACGGGUAACGAGGAAUCUGGGUUCGAUUUCGGAGAGGGAGCCUUAAAAACGGCUACCACA